UAUCUCUGUAGAGUCUGCAUAUCAAUAAGCGGAGGAAAAGAAACUAACAAGGAUUCCCUUAGUAACGGCGAGUGAAGCGGGAAGAGCUCAAAUUUGAAAUCUUCAAGGUUCUACCUUGACGAAUUGUAGUUUAAAGAAGUGUUUUCUGUUAGAUGAGUAGCAAAAGUUCCUUGGAAUGGGACAUCAUAGAGGGUGAGAAUCCCGUAUUUGGUUAUUCAUUCUAGCUUUGUGAUACACUUUCAAAGAGUCGGAUUGUUUGGGAAUGCAGUCCAAAAUGGGUGGUAAAUUUCAUCUAAAGCUAAAUAUUGGCGAGAGACCGAUAGCGAACAAGUACCGUGAGGGAAAGAUGAAAAGAACUUUGAAAAGAGAGUUAAACAGUACGUGAAAUUGUCAAAAGGGAAGCGUUUGACACCAGUGUUGUUUUUCCGAAAAUCAAUUACGAAUGGCUUGAUUCUGUGUUGUAUUGACCUUAUCAGCUUUCUGCACUCUUUUUCGAGUCUUUCUUAAUGCACUUUUCGGUUAACAAGUCAACAUCAAUUUCUUUUGUUGUAAAAGAGUAUUCGGAAGGUGGCUUUCUUUUCGGAGAAAGUGUUUAUAGCCCUAUACUUCUACAAUCGGAGAGAUUGAGGUCUGCAGCGUAGAUCCCUCGGGGUUAGAUACACUUGUGCUAAGUUGUAGCUUUUCAUAGACAACUUGUUGACUAUGUUUAGUCAUGCGGCUUACUCGCUUGCGCUAUUUUACCUACGCUUAGGAUGUUGAAGAUGUAGCACAUCAU
rnacentral:rRNA from 1 species